CCUAGGAAUCUGCCUGGUAGUGGGGGAUAACGUCCGGAAACGGGCGCUAAUACCGCAUACGUCCUGAGGGAGAAAGUGGGGGAUCUUCGGACCUCACGCUAUCAGAUGAGCCUAGGUCGGAUUAGCUAGUUGGUGGGGUAAAGGCCUACCAAGGCGACGAUCCGUAACUGGUCUGAGAGGAUGAUCAGUCACACUGGAACUGAGACACGGUCCAGACUCCUACGGGAGGCAGCAGUGGGGAAUAUUGGACAAUGAACGAAAGCCUGAUCCAGCCAUGCCGCGUGUGUGAAGAAGGUCUUCGGAUUGUAAAGCACUUUAAGUUGGGAGGAAGGGCAGUAAGUUAAUACCUUGCUGUUUUGACGUUACCAACAGAAUAAGCACCGGCUAACUUCGUGCCAGCAGCCGCGGUAAUACGAAGGGUGCAAGCGUUUAAUCGGAAUUACUGGGCGUAAAGCGCGCGUAGGUGGUUCAGCAAGUUGAGUGUGAAAUCCCCGGGCUCAACCUGGGAACUGCAUCCAAAACUACUGAGCUAGAGUACGGUAGAGGGUGGUGGAAUUUCCUGUGUAGCGGUGAAAUGCGUAGAUAUAGGAAGGAACACCAGUGGCGAAGGCGACCACCUGGACUGAUACUGACACUGACGUGCGAAAGCGUGGGGAGCAAACAGGAUUAGAUACCCUGGUAGUCCACGCCGUAAACGAUGUCGACUAGCCGUUGGGAUCCUUGAGAUCUUAGUGGCGCAGCUAACGCGAUAAGUCGACCGCCUGGGGGAGUACGGCCCGCAAGGUUAAAAACUCAAAUGAAUUUGACGGGGGGCCCGCACAAGCGGUGGGAACAUGUGGUUUUAAUUCGAAAACAACGCGAAAAAACCCUUUACCUGGCCUCUUGACAUGCUGAAAAACUUUACCAGAGAUGGGAUUGGUGCCUUUCAGGAAACUCAAACACAGGGUGCUGCAUGGGCUGU
rnacentral:rRNA from 1 species